AAAGACCUGGCGUUAUUCGAGCGGCCGACGUCUGAUUAGCUAGUUGGUGAGGUAAAGGCUCACCAAGGCAACGAUCAGUAGCGGGUCUGAGAGGAUGAUCCGCCACACUGGGACUGAGACACGGCCCAGACUCCUACGGGAGGCAGCAGUGGGGAAUUUUGGACAAUGGGGGCAACCCUGAUCCAGCCAUGCCGCGUGUCUGAAGAAGGCCUUCGGGUUGUAAAGGACUUUUGUUAGGGAGCAAGUCCUGCAGGUUAAGAGCUAGUAGGGAUGAGAGUACCUAAAGAAUAAGCACCGGCUAACUACGUGCCAGCAGCCGCGGUAAUACGUAGGGUGCAAGCGUUAAUCGGAAUUACUGGGCGUAAAGGGUGCGCAGGCGGUAUUGUAAGCCAGAUGUGAAAUCCCCGGGCUCAACCUGGGAACU
rnacentral:rRNA from 1 species